GAUGAACGCUAGCGGCAGGCCUAAUACAUGCAAGUCGAACGGUGUCUUCGGACAUAGUGGCGCACGAGUGCGUAACACGUAUGCAACCUACCUUACAUUGGGGGAUAGCCUUUCGAAAGGGAGAUUAAUACCGCAUAAGACAGUAGCUGGGCAUCCAGCAGCUGUUAAGGAUUUAUCGAUGUAAGCUGGGCAUGCGUCCAAUUAGCUAGUUGGUGAGGUAACGGCUCACCAAGGCAAUGAUUGGUAGGGGAACUGAGAGGUCAAUCCCCCACACUGGCACUGAGAUACGGGCCAGACUCCUACGGGAGGCAGCAGUAGGGAAUAUUGGGCAAUGGACGCAAGUCUGACCCAGCCAUGCCGCGCGCAGGAUGAAGGCGUUAUGCGUUGUAAACUGCUUUUAUACAGGAAGAAACGACUCUUGCGAGAGGCAUUGACGGUACUGUAUGAAUAAGCACCGGCUAACUCCGUGCCAGCAGCCGCAGUAA
rnacentral:rRNA from 1 species